rnacentral:lncRNA from 1 species
CUCUUGCAGAGCUCUUUUCGUCAUCUGCGCAAUGGCAGGAAUGAGACGGAAACCAGUGAAGCGUUCCUCGCAGGGCCUGGACUUAUCUUGGAUAACAUUUGCAGUGACCUUAUGAGGUAAGGAUGGCCACUUGGAACCCUUGAAGCUGUGAGUCCCCUUGACUUCCUCCCAGGCACUGCCCUCCCAGAAGUGAAGGUACCAGGAGGCAGAGGAAACAGUAGCACCACGGUGCCAUCCUGGAUCCAACGGAGCAGGUGACAGACAGCAGGGGUCACAGGCAGGCCAACUUGGACUGAGGAAAAAAAAGUCGCAGGAAAGCAGCUGGGCAUCCUGCCUUGCUUCGCCCUUGGACUUCUGCAGGGUCCGUUUGCCCUUUGUUUGACUCCCAGACCCCACUGAGCUGGGAACCAACCAGUGGGCUGGAAGCCCAGGAUGGGGUGGCCCACCUAGUAGGGACGACAUUUACUUGCACAAAAGAUGGUCUCCAGGAGCCCCUUCAGGACCGAAGCAGGGAAACACUGUCGCCCUGGAGAGCUGGGAGAGGGGGAGGCAGCAGCAGUCGCUGGCCAGAGAGGGGCGAAACAGAGCUCAGGGUCCCUGCAGCGGGUGGGGGAAGCUCAGGUCCAGGUGGGCUUUGUGUUCCUUGAGGUUCUCCGCCAAGGUUCUGCUUCAUCAGGCCUCUGCCGAGUUCUCUGGCCUCACCUGUCCACCGCUGCUCCGUGCAGCCACCUUUCCCCUGCUCCCCAAGGUGCGUCCAUUUCUGAGUUUCCCUCCUCUGGACCUGUGACCAUGCCAUCCCUCCUGCCUGGACUGCCUCCCAGUCUCUCAGUAGUACCACCUCCAGGUUCAGCUUGUGGUUCCGGCUGGUGGGUGUGCCACAGCCAGACGCUGUGCUCAGCGGGGAUACCCUAACCCUGGGUGAUCUGGGGUCACUCCCGUCAACCUGGGGGGCUCUGCAGGCAGGGAAGAGCCUCCUGGGUCUCUGCUCCAGCCCUGGCUUUACACAAAUGUGCCUGAGAAAACACGGUGUCCUGACACCUGGCCUCAUGCCACCUGGUGACGGCAUCUGAGCCAUCACCAGUGAUCAUUCACCCCUUUUCCCUUUUCCAGACAGCACGAAAAUCCAACACGCCCCUCACCGGAGGACUGGGAGGCUCCCGCGUUUUGGAUUCUGAAAAGCACUCCCUCGUUCACGUCUGCCUGGAUUCGCGCCCUCAAGCCCCCUGGCGCCCACUUUUCUUGCUCUCCAAACACUCGUUGAGGCCCGAGAGGGAGAUGCGAAGUUUGCCCACCACUGCGCGUCCCUCCUCCGCGAGGCGCCAAUGGGCCUGAGUCAGGGGCCUCCCCUUCAUCCGCUGGUCCCUCCCCUGUUCCCAGCUCCAGUUCCUCACCCGCUAUGGCUGGCCUGGCGCCUGUGGCCGUUCACCGUCUGCGAGGCAUCUGCGGGGACUGAAGUCGGGGAGGCAGCGGCGGGCUCUGGCAGAUACCAGGAGAUCCCGCCCCUCGGCCCGGGAGACCCCGCCCCUCGGCCACGCCCCUUUCCGCUCCCCACCCCGCCCUCUUGGGCCCCCCACCCGGCCCAGCCAGACAGAGACCUGCCUCCAGGUGGGUGGGAGGAGACCUUCAGUCCCUCGCCCCGGGCCUGUUGUCACUACCUCCCCCAAACACAUUGGUUAAAGUCACCCGAUUAGAAGGGGCCACCUGUGAGACUUGGAUCCAAAGCAAACUAGCGGAAGCUGAAGGGUCUUGGGGCUUCCCAGGCCUCUCGGAGGCCGGGAUGGUCGUGGAGGAGGGAGCGCUCAGUGCCUGGCCUACUGCCUGCCCUGAGCCGGCUCCCUACAGGACGCUUCUCCUGUACCUUCCACCUGCUGCGAGGAAGGGCUGGGGGCAGGCGUACCCAUUUUCCAGAGGAGAACUGAAGGCUCUCACCCCGGGUUAGGCCAGUGGCCGGAGGCAGAGCCGGGCCUUGAACCUGGCUUUCUGGAUCUUCAUCCAGGCCAUUCUAAAGGGGAUCACAGUUUCCAGGAGUCACUCCUGAAGAUGGUCAAGUACCAUGGAGGGGCAGGGCAUCCAUGGACCCUGAUUUGAGGCCCCGGAGCAGUUGGGACUGGUUUGGGCCACGGCUGGCCUAAUCUCCCCUCCACAGAGCCUGGGCAUUGUCCAGUUGGCAGCCAAGAGCCAUCUAUCCACUUUACAGCGGGCAGCUUUGACAGGCUGCUUGUUUCCAAGGACAAAGCCUGCAGGCUGUGGGUAGGCGAUAGCCACUGCGGACCUCGGGCUCAUUGCCUGGGUACAGGGGGUGGGGAGCCUGAGGUCUGCCAGGACCCAAGGGAGCCUCGAGGGUGGCCUGAGGACAUUGGGUCCUCACUCCUGGCCCCUCAGCCAACCCCCUCAUAGCCCAGGGCCAGGAAUUUUGGAAGGAAGAACCAGCCACUGGGAUGUUUUCACUUUUGGGUCACCCUGAUCCCCCCAGAAUCGAGGCUUGGCCAUCAGCCAGCUUUUAUGUGACCCAGGCAGCUCUCUCCACUCUGUUUCUUCUUCUACAGAAUGUUGAGAAUCACCUCUUUCUCUCAGGGACAUAAAGCAUGGCUGUGAGAGAGAUUUGUGAGUGUUGGGGUCACUGUAAUUACUCUCUGAGGGUGCCUGUCUUGAGCUCUGUAGACAAAGUGGGAUCCCUUCCCCUCUCUCAUACCCCUACAAACUUUGGGCCUCGAGUAUCCAGGAUGGGCCCAGAACCAGCACUGGCACAGCCUCCUCUCUGGCCUGAUCCAAGCCCUCUCCCACACAGCAGUCAGGCUGAUCUUCCUAAAAUUUCCGUCUAUUGAGCUUACAUUAAAAUAAUAAUAAUAAUAAUAAUAAUAAUAAUAAUAAUAAUAAUAACAACAUUUCUGUCUGAUUUUGUCUCUCCUCUGCUCAAAAUCCCUCUGUGGAUCCCUAGUGCCUCCAGGAGAAAGUCCACCCUUCCUCUCACGGCUCACCCAAUCUACCCCAGCCGUGGCUCCUCCCUCACUGUGCCUCUUCCCCUUACCUUCUAGCCAGAGUGAAAUCCCCAGGCCUCUGCGUGCACCAUUCCCUCUGCUUAGGAAUAGGCAGACCUGCCCCCAGGUCUUUUCUGGUUCAUUUCCACUUAUCCUUCAGGUUUCUAGGAUGCUUUCCCUGACCUCCACUUAAAUUGGCUCAGGAGUUCCCUGAUCUCCACAAAUGUCAGGAACUUGUCCACCCGCCUGCCCCCAGCACCCAGGUUACACCUGACAAAGUAAGCGCUUUGGAAUGCUCCAACAGACCUAGUCAUACCAUACCCGGACAGAUGCCUUGCGUGUGUGUUUGAGGGUGGUGGUGCUGGGGACAGUGGGAAGGGACUCUGCCUCAUGGACCCCCAAGGCCAGACACCUGCACUGCUGCUUGUGGCCACUGG